UCCCAGGUGGCUCAGUGGUAAAGGAUCUGCCUGUCAAGCAGGAGACCUGGGUUUGAUCCCUGGGGUGGGAA
rnacentral:tRNA from 1 species